AUAAUCACACCCCAAAAUUAACGCUAACCACCCAUGUAAUCUCACCCCUCCCUCGAGCGCGGGCAGCCACCGACGAAGGAGGCCGCGCUUGAGCCCGCGGCGCGGCGCCUCCCGCUCCCCCUCUCCUCUCCGGCCGCACCGGUCUCCUCCCUAAGCAUGAAGUGGGCACACGGGGGCGGGCUCCAGUGAACGUGGUCACGCGCGAUCCAGCUGCUGGCGGCAUCCGCAUCCCUCGCCUCUCGGGUCUCUCCUUCCUUCCUAAGAAGUGGGUGCUCGCAGGGCGGCCUCCCCGCCAACCGCCUCCAGGAGCUCUGCUUCUGCAACGGUGGCAUCUACGUCAAGCUCGUCCAGCACAUCGCAAAGCUGGUAUAGAAGGGAAUUCCCAACUCUGCGUGGAUACGCCUGAAUUCGCUUUGGGUUCAUUUAUCUGUUUGUUUGUAAGAUUGCAUAAUUUUGUGGCUGAGGAUUAGCUGCUUGUUUGCUUGUACUACCACAAGAGUAUGUGCAGACAUGAGGGCGUCGAUGCUCAAGAGGUGCCCAAUCUCCUUAUACGAGGACGUCUGUGGAGUCUUCAAGAAAGAGAUUGGAGAAUUUUCACAAACUGUUAGUUCCUUCUUAUGGUAAUGUGUAGAAUUGGUUAUGAUAGAGAGAAGGACUCUGAUCUGCAUGGUGAGGACAUGCUUCCUGAAACAUCUGUUAGUAUUCAAUGAUUCCAACAGAUAAAGGACUUUCCAUGCUCUCAGACAACAGCAUUCUUUAUCCAACAGUGAUGCGAUUUUGUCUAUCUGAAUAUUGUGUUAUCAUUUGUUUAAAUUCGAGUGAUAUUAUACAUGUAGCUUGCUGAGUAUAUUUUACAAUAGUUACUUUUGGAAAUUUCUUAGAGAUUAUAGAUGGGACAACAGACAACAAUGCAGAUACGUCAUAGCUGGGCACCAUGAUCAUUGCCCCCAUAUCUCCUUUUAUGUUAUGAAGAUAUACAUGUCGGUUUCCUUCUUGCUAAUUUUUGGAGAUCAUAAAUGAUAUUAAUAUUAUGGUUGUACUGCAAUUUUCUUGUGUCUGUGUGUACAAACAGAUCGAAUCUAAUUCAAAUGACUUAGAUUAAUUUGCUUUUCCAAGUUAUUGCUGGGCCAACUAUUGACCUUUAUGAAACAUAUCUUUUCACUUCUCUUUUGUUCCCAGGAAAUCUGGUCCGAGCCCGGCCGUAGUUUUAUAUAAGGAUGUUGGAGGCAGCAUCGGAAGAGACAAGUCUGCGGGAAUCUUGUCCAGACUCCACAACGUUGUAAUAACACAAAAGUUGGAGGUACGAUUGAAAGAGACCAGCUAGAUUCUUCUUCCGGGUAUUAAAAAGAAAACCUGGCUAGAGAUUUCAUGCCAUGCCAUUCCAUUUAUCUUUGUUUUGUGCUUAUCGUAUCUGAUGACAUGAUUAACAUUUA